GCACCUUCACUGUCCACCAAGUUGUCAGUUUCCCAAUGCUCACUCAGCAGCUCUGUGGCAGAAGUCUGACAUGGGAGAAUCUGCUGUUUGGCGUGGCUUGAAAAGGCAGAUGUGGUAAUCUACACAACAUUUUGCUUUCCUAAGUGGCUAGCCAGCCUGAACUUGAAGAAUUGGCAUGCUGAACCAUCAGUAUCAGAUUAAUGGGACCGAGAAAUCCAAGAAAGAAAGUGGAGGCUGGAGUGAUGCUGAUUGCACUGGAAGCUUAGAUAUUGAAAAGAUAAAGAACCCAUUUUUUCCUCACGCUGUGCUUGGAAUGACUCACUGGUAUUGAACACUCUCCAUACCUUAGCUCUUUUACUGUCCAGCUGGCCUGUAACAUUGCUGACAACACUCUUCCAGCUCCUGCCAGCCAGAUUUCAUGGAGGCCUCACUUAGCACUGGAAGGUGCUGCAAAGUCUCCCUGAAGCCUUCUGCAGGCUGAACAACCCCAGCUGUCUCAGCCUGUCUC